CCAAUAGCGUAUAUUAAAGUUGUUGCAGUUAAAAAGCUCGUAGUUGAAUUUCGGGAUCAAUAUUUCGGUCAUGCCGUUGGUAUGCACUGUUAUCAUUGAUUUCUCACCUUCUAAAGAACCGUAAUGCCAUUAAUUUGUUGUUACGUGGAAUUAGGACUGUUACCUUGAAAAAAUUAGAGUGUUUAAAGCAGGCUCACUCUUUACUCCAUUAGCAUGGAAUAAUGAAAUAGGACAUACGGUUCUAUUUUGUUUGUUUCUAGGAUCAGUGUAAUGAUUAAUAGGGAUAGUUGGGGGCAUUAGUAUUCAAUUGUCAGAGGUGAAAUUCUUGGAUUUAUUGAAGACUAACUACUGCGAAAGCAUUUGCCAAGGAUGUUUUCAUUAAUCAAGAACGAAAGUUAGGGGAUCGAAGACGAUCAGAUACCGUCGUAGUCUUAACCAUAAACUAUGCCGACUAGGGAUCGGAUGAUGUUAAUUUUUUAAUGACUCAUUCGGCGCCUUACG
rnacentral:rRNA from 1 species